ensembl:snRNA U6 U6 spliceosomal RNA
UGCUUGCCGAAGCAAGCACGUAAAUUGGAUACGAUACAGAGAAGAUUAGCAUGGCCCCUGUGCAAGGAUGACACGCAAAUUCGUGUAGCAGGGACACAUGUUA